GCCUUCAACAAAGUCACCAUUAAAAAAAAUACAUACAAACCUGUAUUUACAGAAAGAUGAGGCAGAUCUUUUUUAAAUUCCUUCACGGGUACGGGUUCUUUCUCUUACGCAUGAGCUUGAGCACGUUUGGAUAUGAAUCUGAUCACCUGGCUCUGCUAGACUUGAAGCAAAGAAUAACUGAAGAUCCUCUGCAUCUCAUGAGCAAAUGGAAUGGUUCCAUCAAUUUCUGCAGCUGGGUUGGCGUUACAUGCAACCAUUCCAACAAAAGAGUCGUGACUUUGAACCUGGAAGCUCAAAAGUUGGCAGGCUCCCUACCACCUUCUAUAGGAAAUCUUACUUGUCUCACUGGAAUUAACUUGAUAGACAACAACUUUCAUGGUGAAAUUCCUCAAGAAAUGGGACGUCUGCUACGCCUGCAAUAUCUCAACCUGAGUUCCAAUUCCUUUGGUGGGAAAAUUCCAAGUAACAUAUCUCACUGUACACAGCUGAAAGUGCUUGAUCUUGGUGCCAAUAAACUUAUUGGGUCCAUUCCGGAUCAACUCAGUUCAUUGUUGAAUUUAACUCACCUAUGGGUUGAUGAAAACAAUCUCACUGGAACAAUCCCAGAUUGGAUAGGAAACUUUUCUUCUCUGUAUGCUAUUUCUCUUGCCGACAACAAUUUUCAAGGAAGCAUACCGAAUGAGCUCGGGCGCUUAACAAGCUUGGGAAGUUUUGUAAUUCCAGGGAAUCAACUUUCUGGUAUGGUUCCUUCUUCAAUCUAUAAUAUAUCCUCCAUAUACUAUAUCACUGUUACUGACAACCAGCUGCAUGGAGAGCUGCCAAAAGAUGUGGGGAUCACUCUUCCUUAUCUCGAGAUAUUUGCUGGUGGUGUCAACAAAUUCACAGGUAGUAUUCCUGUAUCCUUGUCAAAUGCUUCUAGACUUCGAAAGCUUGAUUUUGCUGAAAAUGGUCUCACUGGGAAACUCCCAGCUGAAAAUUUUGGAAGCUUGCAAAGCUUAUCUAGACUGAACUUUGAUGACAAUAGACUGGGAAGUGGAAAAAAUGGUGACCUGAGUUCUCUCAGUUUCCUUGCUAAUUGUACUAAUCUUGAGGUGUUGAGUUUUAGCCGCAAUCGUUUUGGAGGAGAAUUGCCAGAGUCCAUAUCCAACCUCUCAACAAAACUUAGAAUUUUUACAAUGGGGGGUAAUUUGAUACAGGGAAGCAUCCCUAUCGGCAUUGCAAAUCUUGUAAACUUGACCAAUCUAGGAAUGGAACAAAACUAUUUUGGUGGCAGUCUUCCUGAUGUAAUUGGCAAGCUCCAGAAGUUACAAGGACUGUAUUUGAAUCUUAACAAGUUUUCGGGGCCAAUCCCAUCCUCCCUAGGUAACUUGACUUCAGUAACAAGGCUCUUCAUGGAGGGUAAUAGGUUUGAGGGAAGCAUACCUCCAAGCCUGGGAAACUGCCAAAGCUUAUUGAUGUUUAACCUUUCUAGUAACCGACUAAGUGGCACCAUACCGAAAGAGGUUGUUGGGCUUUCAUCCCUUUCAAUUUCUUUGUCCAUGUCAAACAAUUCUUUGACUGGUUCACUACCAUCGGAAGUGGGUGAGUUGGUAAAUCUCUCGGAGCUAGAUGUAUCAGGAAACAAGUUAUCAGGUGAAAUCCCCAUAACCCUUGGCAGCUGCACUAGUUUGGUGAGCCUACAUUUGGAAGGUAAUAAAUUUGAAGGAAACAUUCCUGAAACUCUGACAAAAUUAAGAGGCGUGGAAGAAAUAGAUAUUUCACGGAAUCACUUAUCUGGGAAAAUCCCUGAAUUUCUAGGUAAGUUUAGAGCUCUUAAGCAACUCAAUCUUUCUUAUAAUGAUUUUGAGAGUGCAUUGCCUGAAGAAGGAAUAUUUUCAAAUGCAAGUGGUGUCUCAGUUCAUGGAAAUAAUAGACUGUGUGGUUAGAAUGGCAUCCCAGAAUUACUUCUACCUGUAUGCUCUAACAAAAAGCCUCAUUCAUCUCAAGGAUUACUUUCCCCAAAAGUAGUAAUUCCUGUAACUUGUGCAAUUGGAUUCAUUGCCCUAUCAUGCUUUAUUGCUGCUUGUAGAAUGGUAAAAAGGUCAAGAGGUCCACUUUUAACUUCACCUUCUUAUGGGGAUUGGAAAUUAGCCGUCUCUUACUUAGAACUCGCUCAAUCAACCAACAGGUUCUCUCUUGACAAUCUCAUUGGUUCAGGAAGUUUCGGUUCUGUGUACAGAGGAGUAUUCUCUAGUAAUGGCAUGGUAGUUGCUGUUAAGGUAUUAAACCUUAACCAAGAAGGAGCUUCCAAGAGUUUCAUUGAUGAAUGCAAAGCUUUAAGAAGUAUAAGGCACCGCAAUCUUCUCAAGAUCAUAACCGCAUGCUCAAGCAUUGACAACCAAGGUAAUGAGUUCAAAAGUCUAGUUUCUGAGUUCAUGGAAAAUGGAAGUCUAGAACAGUGGCUGCAUCCAAGAGAUGAUGAACAAUCUCAAAGUAAGAGAUUGAGCCUGAUCCAAAGACUAAAUGUUGCCAUAGAUGUUGCUUCUGCAUUAGAUUAUCUACACCACAAUUGUGAAACAUGCAUUGUUCAUUGUGACUUAAAGCCAAGCAACGUUCUUCUUGAUGAAGAUAUGGUAGCCCAUGUUGGUGACUUUGGUCUAGCAAGGUUCCUUUUGGAAGUAUCAAAUAAUCCCACCAAAACUCAAACCAUGUCAGUUGGGCUGAAGGGUUCCAUAGGCUACAUUCCUCCAGAGUAUGGCAUGGGAGGCCAAGUUUCCACACUUGGAGAUGUUUAUAGCUAUGGGAUACUGUUGCUAGAAAUGUUCACAGGAAAAAGACCAACUGAUGACAUGUUCAAAGAUGGUCUAAGCAUUCACCAAUUCACAGCCAUGGCUUGUCCUGACCAUGUCAUGGACGUAGUUGAGCCUUCAUUGCUCCUUGAAACGGAUGACGAGAAUGAUGAAGAUGACAAAUAUGGAAAUCGCAAAGAAGAAAGACCCGUAGCAGGAUAUAGAGAUCCUGGCCCAGUCAAAGCAAAAAGAUUGGAGGAAUGCUUGGAUUCAUUGAUGCAGAUAGGGCUCUCAUGCUCUGCAACAUCACCAAGAGACCGGAUGUCUAUGGAUGUCGUCGUCAACAAAAUGAAUGCAAUUAGAGACUCAUAUCUCAAUUUAAGAAGCAGAAGAAGACGACGAUUUAAAAGUACAAGAUAGGCUAAGUUUGUUAACUAAUCUCAAUACCCUCAUCUAUAUGCAAGAAAUCUUUUGAUAAAGGAUAUUAUAUGUAUCAGUCUCUCUGAGAUCAUGUGAGGUUGAAUUCACUUAUAGUGGUCCA